UAUUGAAAAAGGUAAACUGCUCGUAAGGGUAGGACACAAAGCUAUCCCGACGUUCCAGCGAAGCUGGAAGU
rnacentral:ncRNA from 1 species